AAGCAAUCCACAGAUUAAGUUAUCAAGGAAUGGCCAAUGUACCCUGUGUUGUGCUUACUACAGAUAUAUGGACCUCCAGGGCUACAGAGAGGUACUUAAUUAACAUACUUCUUCUGCUCAGUGUAGGCCUACAACACAAGAAGACUAGAACAGUGCUAAAUGGUGUAUAUAAUGAAGUGCUGCUCAUGGGUCCUUCACCACUCUGCCAGAGAGUCAGCUCUUUCAUACAGAGAACUCAGAGCGUCUGAACCCCACUGGAGGGCAGUAUUUAUCCACCAGGAGAUUGCAGUAGCACCUCACCUCACACUGAGGCUCUCUAAUGGCACAGAGCGGCUCCCACAACGUCACAGACACAGAGGGAUAGAGGUCUCCAUCAUCUUUGGGUGUCUGGAGAAGUUGGACUGGAGUGUGAACCCGCUGGGUGACGGACCCUGUCCUGCCUGCUGUCAGCCUGCCCCCUAAUGACCAGCUUCUCCCUGCUGGCCUGCAUCUUCAAACUCUGCUGCUUGUAGCUACACAGCCUCCUACGGGCCAGCGCCUUCGCAGGAAUAAAGCAGCACCGCCUCUUACUGGCCAGCACACUGGCAGGUAAACAGGUUCAUUGAUACGCUUUUUACAUUGAUAUGACACAUAUUAUUAGCAUUAGAAUUAGAACAUUUAU
rnacentral:lncRNA from 1 species